rnacentral:rRNA from 1 species
GACGUAGGGGGCCAGCGUUGCUCGGAAUUACUGGGCGUAAAGGGUUCGUAGGCGGUGCGGUAAGUCGGACGUGAAAUCUCUGGGCUUAACUCAGAGGCUGCUUUCGAAACUGCCGUGCUGGAGUGCGGGAGAGGCGAGUGGAAUUGCAGGUGUAGCGGUGAAAUGCGUAGAUAUCUGCAGGAACACCCGUGGCGAAGGCGGCUCGCUGGACCGCAACUGACGCUGAGGAACGAAAGCUAGGGGAGCAAACAGG